rnacentral:rRNA from 1 species
AAACCUACGGGAGGCAGCAGUGAGGAAUAUUGGUCAAUGGGCGGGAGCCUGAACCAGCCAAGCCGCGUGAGGGAAGAAGGUACAGCGUAUCGUAAACCUCUUUUGUCAGGGAACAAAGGCGGGGACUAGUCCCCGGAUGAGGGUACCUGAAGAAAAAGCAUCGGCUAACUCCGUGCCAGCAGCCGCGGUAAUACGGAGGAUGCGAGCGUUAUCCGGAUUUACUGGGUGUAAAGGGGGCGCAGACGGCGAUGCAAGCCAGGAGUGAAAGCCCGGGGCCCAACCCCGGGACUGCUCUUG